rnacentral:ncRNA from 2 species
GCAAUGCAAAGCCGCUACGGUUCCGGCGCUUCAGCCGGAUGAAAAGGGAACGCCGGUACGCCUUAUGGUCCGCGAAGGACCGGGGCAAGUCCGGGGCUGCCCCCGCAACUGUAUGCGGAGAGCGAUGGUCGAUGAUGCCACUGGGAUAAAACCCGGGAAGGCCGGCCCGAGCAAUGAUCCGCAAGCCAGGAGACCUGCCGCAGCGAUCACCCAUUU